CCUACGGGUGGCAGCAGUGGGGAAUAUUGGGCAAUGGACGCAAGUCUGACCCAGCAACGCCGCGUGAAGGAAGACUGCUUUCGGGUUGUAAACUUCUUUUGAUAGGGAAGAGAAGCAGACGGUACCUGUCGAAUAAGCCACGGCUAACUACGUGCCAGCAGCCGCGGUAAUACGUAGGUGGCAGGCGUUGUCCGGAUUUACUGGGUGUAAAGGGCGUGUAGCCGGGUAGACAAGUCAGAUGUGAAAGCCGGGGGCUCAACCCGCGAACUGCAUUUGAAACUGUUGGUCUUGAGUAUCGGAGAGGGAGGCGGAAUUCCUGGUGUAGCGGUGAAAUGCGUAGAUAUCAGGAAGAACACCAGUGGCGAAGGCGGCUUACUGGACGAUAACUGACGGUGAGGCGCGAAAGCGUGGGGAGCAAACAGGAUUAGAUACCCGAGUAGUC
rnacentral:rRNA from 1 species